rnacentral:rRNA from 1 species
GACGAACGCUGGCGGCGUGCUUAACACAUGCAAGUCGAACGGUGAAGCGCCUUCCUUUUUGGUGGGUGUGGAUGAGUGGCGAACGGGUGAGUAACACGUUAGUAACCUGCCCCCUUCUUCUGGAUAACCGCAUGAAAGUGUUGCUAAUACGGGAUAUUCUGGGUCUGUCGCAUGAUGGGUCUGGGAAAGAUUUUGUUUCGGUUGGGGAUGGGUUCGCGGCCUAUCAGCUUGUUGGUGGGGUGAUGGCCUACCAAGGCGGUGACGGGUAGCCGGCCUGAGGGGAUGGACGGUCACACUGGGACGGAGACACGGCGCAGACUCCGACGGGAGGCAGCAGGGGGGAAUAUUGAACAAGGGGCGGAAGCCUGAUGCAGCGACGCGGCGUGAGGGAUGGAGGCCGUCGGGUUGUGAACCUCUUUCGCCAGUGAAGCAGGCAGGACUCGUUUGUGGGUGGGUUGACGGUAGCUGGAUAAGAAGCGCCGGCUAACUACGUG